CCCCUCUGAGGAUGGCACCUGGAGAGUUUCCAGUAUUUUACCAGCCUCGGCUCCAGGAGGGAGGGGCAAGCAGGGGCCUACCCAUUCCAUUCCUUGCCUGGGCGGAGGCUAGCGAGUGGAAGGCCAUCUGCUACAAAU